AUUGCGCACAUCAUGGGCGAGAGUGGGCGCGCAAAACGAACUACUUUCAUAUUCACCACAGCGCGGAGUGCACACGGCACGGCAUGGCAGGGCAGAGUGCCUGGUGCCUGGUGGCCCGGUGGCUUGGAGGGUCAACCUCGUCGGCGGCAACAAAAGUGAUCUCCGGUCUACUUUUAGGCUGACUGCAGGAGUCAACGCACAUUUCCUACCGGGCAUGCAGAGGACCCCAAAUGAACGAAUGUCGUCGACUUCCACUUCACUUUGCGGAAUGGAAUGGGCUGUGGGGUUGGGUGGGCACGACAUGCUCAAAAGGGAUACAGUUGUUACCGUGUAUAGCUGGAAGCGUUUGCCGCACAUUGGAGAGGACCGAAAACCGGGAACAUGGCAGCUGAGUGUCGUGAACGCGACACACGACAGUCUGGCCGCAGCGCUGCCAGGAGAGAGACGUCUAUCGUCCACCAUUUUAUGUACAAUAAAGGAAUGUGCACACACACACACACACACACAGGCACACACACACACACGCAACGACACGUACACACAAACAGAGACAGGCAGACAGACGUGCGCAUGAAGUGAACUUGUUAAUGCUGUCUAUAAGCAGCAUUUACAUACAAGUUGACCCCACAUGUACACAUAAAUAUGUUUGUGCUUUGUACAUACACACGUAUACAUACAUACAUAUGCAUAUAUGUGCAUGUUUAACUACGAUGUCCCCGCUGAAAAAGCAGUUCACGGGCCUUUUGCUCUUAAGAGAAUGGCCAGCCACAAGGCUUCGAAUGGACACACUUCAGCAAAUGUGAUUACUGUGUGUAUGUACACAUGCACAUACUUAUGCAUGUACAUAGGUAUUUAUACCCCAUCCCCACACCAUUCAAACACACAGACAAUGGAAGCACCCUAUAAAUCUGUUGUUUAACAAUAUGAAGAAAGCAGCCGCUUAACAAUUUCCACUCGAUUUCAAUGUCAUUAUUGUGCAUAUAUUAAAGUCAUCCCCAUUUCUAUUAAUUGAAGACCAGCAAUAUAGCAGUGUGUGAACUUUUGGUUCGUUACCUUGCUGGACUAACUUUUGGCACUUCUCAGCUGAUUGAACUGGAAAUGUCUUGAGAAACCAGAACUACAAAUAAUUGGCAACCAUUAAACAUAAACCAGCUCUAUUUAAAUGGCAAAACUCUUUAGGAACCUUUAAAAAGUAUAGAAGUUUAUAACGUAUACAUAUACCCGAAGUAAUAGUAGUAUUAUUUACAUAGAGACUUUUGUAUAAUUGUAGUUUAUUGACAAUAACAAGAAUAAAAUAUUAUUUGUAAGUAAUUGUUAAUGAGAAUAGAAAACAGCGUAAUUAAGUUUAGUAAUACACAACGAAGCCCAAAUCAAGUAUGAAUCAAUAUGCUCGAUGAAAAUGAAAGAAUAACUGAAAUAAUAAGUAUACAAUUUGUUCUUCUAUUUAUAAGAUAUAACUAUUUAACAUAUAUUGAAGGAAUCAAUAUAAACGAAGAAUAUUCAGUCA